AGUGAACGCUGGCGGUAGGCCUAACACAUGCAAGUCGAACGGCAGCACAGGAGAGCUUGCUCUCUGGGUGGCGAGUGGCGGACGGGUGAGGAAUACAUCGGAAUCUACUCUGUCGUGGGGGAUAACGUAGGGAAAAUUACGCUAAUACCGCAUACGACCUGCGGGUGAAAGCAUGGGACGUUCGGGCCUUGCGCGAUUGAAUGCGCCGAUGUCGGAUUAGCGAGUUGGCAGGGUAAAGGCCCACCAAGGCGACGAUCCGUAGCUGGUCUGAGAGGGUGAUCAGCCACACUGGAACUGAGACACGGUCCAGACUCCUACGGGAGGCAGCAGUGGGGAAUAUUGGACAAUGGGCGCAAGCCUGAUCCAGCCAUACCGCGUGGGUGAAGAAGGUCUUCGGGUUGUAAAGCCCUGUUGUUGGGAAAGAAAGCCAUCUGGUUAAUACCCGGGUGGGAUGACGGUACCCAAAGAAUAAGCACCGGCUAACUUCGUGCCAGCCGCCGCAGUAA
rnacentral:rRNA from 1 species